AAGCGUUGAAGCAUGGUAGCGUACCGGUAAGCCUUACUAUGCCGAGCUUUCAGUAGGGGUUGUGUAGUAACCUCAAACCGGAGUAGGUGAAAACCGAAAGAAAAUACUCAAA
ncrna:unclassified sequences drum RNA